AUCUGUUCUCCCCAACACUCACUCUCAUGCGGUUCCUGCAACCACCAGAAGGGCGGAUUACCCUCAAUUAAACCCCCUGUCACCAUUCCCAAGCUUCCUGUUCCUCCGGUUACUGUUCCUAAGGUACCCGUUCCUCCAGUAACUGUCCCUAAUCUACCCGUUCCUCCUGUAACUGUUCCAAAGCUACCUAUUCCUCCGGUGACCGUACCUAAACUUCCAGUUACCGUACCUAAACUCCCAGUUCCUCCGGUGACAGUCCCUAAGCUACCCAUUCCGCCAGUGGCCAUUCCAAAGGUACCCGUUCCUCCAGUUACUGUCCCAAAGGUACCUGUUCCUCCUGUGACUGUCCCUGAGCUUCCACUUCCUCCAGUGGGCGGGCUACCCACAUUGCCACUACCACCAUUACCAGGGACUAUCCCACCAGCCACAGGAGGGAAGGAUUGUCCUCCAACCCCGGGUAGCGAGAUGCCCCCAUCAGGCAGUGGGAAGGCCACAUGUCCAAUAGACACGCUUAAGUUGGGGGCGUGUGUGGACUUGUUGGGAGGUUUAGUAAAGAUAGGACUUGGAGACCCUGCAGUUAACAAAUGCUGUCCGUUACUUAAAGGCCUCGUUGAAGUUGAAGCAGCCGCCUGUCUCUGCACUACACUCAAGCUUAAAGCUCUUAACCUUAAGCUUUAUGUCCCUGUUGCUCUUCAGCUUCUUCUUACCUGCGGUAAAAAUCCACCUCCGGGGUACACUUGUUCCAUCUGAUAAAUUCUCUCCAGCUAAAGGGUAUGCUAUUUUCCCUUUCAUUUCAAUUAACACUUGAUUCUUCCUUAAGAAACUUAGUAUAGAUUAUUUGAAUUAACACUUAAUUAUAUAUGACGUUAACUUGUUUUUGCCAAAUAGAUUAAAAAUUAUAUACAUGUGAUUUUUUUCAUUGGUCAAAAUUAUAUUGCAAAUAUAGAUGUUCGAUUAAUGCCCAAUACAAAUGUCUGACUAUAAGUACUAUUGUUUGGAGCUCCUAUCAAUUUUUGUAAAAGUAAUACUUAAUACUUAUACAAAAGUAUUAUUGUUUGGAGCUCCGCCAUUCCAUCACUGAAGUUUAUUUUAUUUUUGGUUUGCAGAUAG
rnacentral:lncRNA from 1 species